UACGAAGGGGGCUAGCGUUAAUCGGAAUUACUGGGCGUAAAGCGCGCGUAGGUGGUUUGUUAAGUUGGAUGUGAAAGCCCCGGGCUCAACCUGGGAACUGCAUUCAAAACUGACAAGCUAGAGUAUGGUAGAGGGUGGUGGAAUUUCCUGUGUAGCGGUGAAAUGCGUAGAUAUAGGAAGGAACACCAGUGGCGAAGGCGACCACCUGGACUGAUACUGACACUGAGGUGCGAAAGCGUGGGGAGCAAACAGG
rnacentral:rRNA from 1 species